UUAGAGAUGGCAGAUAAAAUGCCUAGACUUUAAGCGUCUAUCAUGGGAACUCCCUCUCUAAU
rnacentral:tRNA from 1 species